GUCGAAGGUGGGGCUGAUGACUGGGGUGAAGUCGUAACAAGGUAUCCGUACCGGAAGGUGCGGAUGGAUCACCUCCUAACAGGGAGACAACACAAUGAUUUUGAUGCCUGAGUACUUUUAUUCUUAGGCCGAAAUCCUGUCACCUUAGGUCGAUCGGUACCUCAGCUUUGAAGUCAAGGAUCAGCAGCAAUGUUGAUUGCUUGAUGGAGAUUUUUAGUUCCUAAACUUUGUCUAGGUCACACCCCAAAAGGGAUGAGACUCCUGGGCCAUUAGCUCAGGUGGUUAGAGCGCACCCCUGAUAAGGGUGAGGUCCCUGGUUCAAGUCCAGGAUGGCCCAUUCGGUGUUGGGGGUUUAGCUCAGUUGGUAGAGCGCCUGCUUUGCAAGCAGGAUGUCAGGAGUUCGAGUCUCCUAACCUCCACUGACCGAACUUGAUUCCCAUCUCCAAUUUUUUGGAGUUGAGCUCGAUUGGAGUGUGAUUUAGAUGUGUCCGCUGGAUGAUCCCAGCUUCCUGUCAUUCCAAGUUUUAGAUUUUAAGUCUUAAAUUUGGUUGAUAAGAUGCUGGGCUCGGAUCAAAUAAUCAAGCAAUUGAUGAUUUGAUUUGAAGUUCUAGCAGAACCUUGACAACUGCAUAGGUGAAGUCUGGAAAAACAAAGCAUCUUACAGAUGCAUUGUUUUGAAUCUGAUCUUCUGAAAGGGAGAUUGGAUCUAGAACAAUGAAAAUUCUUUUGAGCAAGAGCCGAGACUCUUAAAUGUUCUUUGAUUCGUGUCGAGCGAAUCAGAGUUUGAUCUUGUUUUUAGCAAUAAAAACUUGAGAAUCUGCUUUCAACGGCGGUAAGCGUUUAAGAGGUUAAUUGGUCAAGCUACAAAGGGCUCACG
rnacentral:misc_RNA from 1 species